rnacentral:rRNA from 1 species
AAAUUGAAGAGUUUGAUCAUGGCUCAGAUUGAACGCUGGCGGCAGGCCUAACACAUGCAAGUCGAACGGUAACAGGAAGCAGCUUGCUGCUUCGCUGACGAGUGGCGGACGGGUGAGUAAUGUCUGGGAAACUGCCUGAUGGAGGGGGAUAACUACUGGAAACGGUGGCUAAUACCGCAUAACGUCGCAAGACCAAAGAGGGGGACCUUCGGGCCUCUUGCCAUCAGAUGUGCCCAGAUGGGAUUAGCUAGUUGGUGAGGUAACGGCUCACCAAGGCGACGAUCCCUAGCUGGUCUGAGAGGAUGACCAGCCACACUGGAACUGAGACACGGUCCAGACUCCUACGGGAGGCAGCAGUGGGGAAUAUUGCACAAUGGGCGCAAGCCUGAUGCAGCCAUGCCGCGUGUAUGAAGAAGGCCUUCGGGUUGUAAAGUACUUUCAGCGGGGAGGAAGGUGUUGUGGUUAAUAACCGCAGCAAUUGACGUUACCCGCAGAAGAAGCACCGGCUAACUCCGUGCCAGCAGCCGCGGUAAUACGGAGGGUGCAAGCGUUAAUCGGAAUUACUGGGCGUAAAGCGCACGCAGGCGGUCUGUCAAGUCGGAUGUGAAAUCCCCGGGCUCAACCUGGGAACUGCAUUCGAAACUGGCAGGCUUGAGUCUUGUAGAGGGGGGUAGAAUUCCAGGUGUAGCGGUGAAAUGCGUAGAGAUCUGGAGGAAUACCGGUGGCGAAGGCGGCCCCCUGGACAAAGACUGACGCUCAGGUGCGAAAGCGUGGGGAGCAAACAGGAUUAGAUACCCUGGUAGUCCACGCCGUAAACGAUGUCUACUUGGAGGUUGUGCCCUUGAGGCGUGGCUUCCGGAGCUAACGCGUUAAGUAGACCGCCUGGGGAGUACGGCCGCAAGGUUAAAACUCAAAUGAAUUGACGGGGGCCCGCACAAGCGGUGGAGCAUGUGGUUUAAUUCGAUGCAACGCGAAGAACCUUACCUGGUCUUGACAUCCACAGAACUUUCCAGAGAUGGAUUGGUGCCUUCGGGAACUGUGAGACAGGUGCUGCAUGGCUGUCGUCAGCUCGUGUUGUGAAAUGUUGGGUUAAGU